rnacentral:rRNA from 1 species
UUUCAAGGGGGUGGCCUCCCCCCUUCCCGGUGGAUUCCAAGGGUGGAAGGGGGUCCCCUCCCACU